AACAGGAUUAGAUACCCUGGUAGUCCACGCCGUAAACGAUGUCGACUUGGAGGUUGUGCCCUUGAGGCGUGGCUUCCGGAGCUAACGCGUUAAGUCGACCGCCUGGGGAGUACGGCCGCAAGGUUAAAACUCAAAUGAAUUGACGGGGGCCCGCACAAGCGGUGGAGCAUGUGGUUUAAUUCGAUGCAACGCGAAGAACCUUACCUACUCUUGACAUCCAGAGAACUUAGCAGAGAUGCUUUGGUGCCUUCGGGAACUCUGAGACAGGUGCUGCAAGGCUGUCGUCAGCUCGUGUUGUGAAAUGUUGGGUUAAGUCCCGCAACGAGCGCAACCCUUAUCCUUUGUUGCCAGCGGUUAGGCCGGGAACUCAAAGGAGACUGCCAGUGAUAAACUGGAGGAAGGUGGGGACGACGUCAAGUCAUCAUGGCCCUUACGAGUAGGGCUACACACGUGCUACAAUGGCGCAUACAAAGAGAAGCGACCUCGCGAGAGCAAGCGGACCUCAUAAAGUGCGUCGUAGUCCGGAUUGGAGUCUGCAACUCGACUCCAUGAAGUCGGAAUCGCUAGUAAUCGUGGAUCAGAAUGCCACGGUGAAUACGUUCCCGGGCCUUGUACACACCGCCCGUCACACCAUGGGAGUGGGUUGCAAAAGAAGUAGGUAGCUUAACCUUCGGGAGGGCGCUUACCACUUUGUGAUUCAUGACUGGGGUGAAGUCGUAACAAGGUAACC
rnacentral:rRNA from 1 species